rnacentral:rRNA from 1 species
UACGUAGGGUGCGAGCGUUAAUCGGAAUUACUGGGCGUAAAGGGUGCGCAGGCGGUUCCGCAAGUCAGGCGUGAAAUCCCCGGGCUUAACCUGGGAAUGGCGCUUGAAACUACGGGACUGGAGUAUGGCAGAGGGAGGUGGAAUUCCACGUGUAGCGGUGAAAUGCGUAGAGAUGUGGAGGAACACCGAUGGCGAAGGCAGCCUCCUGGGCCAAUACUGACGCUCAUGCACGAAAGCGUGGGGAGCAAACAGGAUUAGAUACCCCCGUAGUCC